AGUACAGAAUUUUUGUUUCGCCAAAGCUUGGACAAGCCACGGCGGCAAGUGCUGGCUGAGUAUAGAAAAAUUAUUAUAUUAAAUUAUUAGUAUUAAUUAUUAGUAUUAUUAUACAAGGUGAUCUGAAAAUCGUAUUCAAAAUUGUAGAAUUAGAUUCAGAAAAAAAUUCUAAGACAGCACUUUUUCUUUUUUUUAUGAAAUUCUAAAUAGUUUUAAAAUAAAUUCAAAUUAAAUGAAUUGAAAAGUCACGAUAAAUGUAAAGCAUUUGAACACCAUUUUUGUCAUGCGGCAAACUUCUCUAUAAAAAAAGUAAACAGAAGGAAUGACUGACUUCUGCCUAAAUGUUAUGAAGAAACAUUUAUCAAUUAUUAGAGAAAAUCACUUGAAGGGCAAAAGCUAUUUUUAUUUUCAAUUACAGGAAAGAAUUUAAAUUGCAAAAAGAUGUGCACAUGAAAUAAAUAUAUAAAUAAAAUAUUGGACUUUGUAAGGGAAGGAAUUUACCAUUACAUGAUUGAAAGAUAAAACAUAAAUAUGAAACUGAAAUUAAAGAAUUGAGAGAAAAAAUGGAUCGUAAGAACUGUAAAAUAAAGAUAUGCAGAAAUUCAAUGUAGAGAAGA